GAUGAACGCUGGCGGCGUGCUUAACACAUGCAAGUCGAACGAACCUUCGGGUUAGUGGCGGACGGGUGAGUAACGCGUGAGAAUCUGCCCUCAGGAGGGGGAUAACGGUUGGAAACGGCCGCUAAUACCCCAUAUGCCGCGAGGUGAAAUGAAUUUCGCCUGAGGAUGAGCUCGCGUCUGAUUAGCUAGUUGGUGUAGGUAAUGGCUCACCAAGGCAUCGAUCAGUAGCUGGUCUGAGAGGAUGAUCAGCCACACUGGGACUGAGACACGGCCCAGACUCCUACGGGAGGCAGCAGUGAGGAAUUUUCCGCAAUGGGCGAAAGCCUGACGGAGCAAUACCGCGUGAAGGAUUAAGGCCUAUGGGUUGUAAACUUCUUUUCUCAGAGAAGAAUUUUGACGGUAUCUGAGGAAUAAGCAUCGGCUAACUCUGUG
rnacentral:rRNA from 1 species